GGGCUGUUCCCCCUGUAGGGCUGGUGAUAGUCCCAACUAGAGUGAUGGGAAAAAUGGUUAAAAGGGAGCCCCAAAAGCUGGAAAUCCUCCUGGAGGCUCUUGGCCAACAGAGUUUCCUGAGUUGCCCCUGAAAGAAGGAUAGUGACAGCUUUUGAGUGCUAGUAGAUGCUUUUAAUAGAUAGCCUUGAGUGUGUCCUUGUUGCACCAGUAGGCCUUGUCCAAGUCCCCAUAUUCCAGGAGAUAUGCAUAUUGAAGUUUAAAAUGAUCUCCAUAAUCCUUUGUUGGCUUGAGGCUCUCCCCUCAGGAACUGCAGGAACUCCUGGUGCCGCCUGGGCCGAUGGAUUGGACGCCCCAGCCCCUCCGUUCCUGCCCAGCCACUGGGGCCGUGUCCAGUGGUGGCACUGCCAGCCCUGCAGUGGGAUGUAGCCUGGAAACUGCACAGAACUGAGCCAAGGAAUUUAAAGGGACCAACCAAGGGAGGUGAAGAAAGAAGGAAGAAGGGAAGUGAGGCAGUAGCCAAGCAGCACCAAGUGCCUGUGUAAGCAGGUGAGUUGUGUUGAGGUUCCUAAGGCAGGCACUGAGGACUUUGAGGGCUCCAGACAGAGCAGAACUGCGAAGGCCCUCGGUGAAGUCCCUU